AGUGAACGCUGGCGGCGUGCUUAACACAUGCAAGUCGAACGAGAACGGAUUAUAGCUUGCUAUAAUUGUCAGCUAAGUGGCGCACGGGUGAGUAAUGUAUAGGUAAUAUGCCUCUUACUAAGGGAUAACAAAUGGAAACGUUUGCUAAUACCUUAUACUCCUUAUUAACAGAAGUUAAUAAGGGAAAGAUUUAUUGGUAAGAGAUUAGCCUGUAUUGUAUCAGUUAGUUGGUGGGGUAAUGGCCUACCAAGACUAUGACACAUAACUGGUUUGAGAGGAUGAUCAGUCACACCGGAACUGAGACACGGUCCAGACUCCUACGGGAGGCAGCAGUGGGGAAUAUUGCACAAUGGACGAAAGUCUGAUGCAGCAACGCCGCGUGGAGGAUGACACAUUUCGGUGCGUAAACUCCUUUUAUAUGAGAAGAUAAUGACGGUAUUAUAUGAAUAAGCACCGGCUAACUCCGUGCCAGCCGCCGCCGUAAGAC
rnacentral:rRNA from 1 species